UACAGAGGUCCCAAGCGUUGUUCGGAUUCACUGGGCGUAAAGGGUGCGUAGGUGGUGAGGUAAGUCGGAUGUGAAAUCUCCGGGCUCAACCCGGAAAUGGCAUUGGAUACUAUUCGGCUAGAGGUUUGGAGGGGGACUGGAAUUCUCGGUGUAGCAGUGAAAUGCGUAGAUAUCGAGAGGAACACCAGUGGCGAAGGCGAGUCCCUGGACAACACCUGACACUGAGGCACGAAAGCUAGGGGAGCAAACAGG
rnacentral:rRNA from 1 species